rnacentral:hammerhead_ribozyme from 1 species
AUCCAACUGACGAGUUCAAAAUAUGACGAAACGCAUGUCCUGGAU